UCAUCUCAUAUUUCUUUGUUUUCUUUUAAAUCAGUCAUCAUCAUUUUAGUUUCUUAUUUGCCAUUUACAGUCUUCCAAAUUAAAUAUUUUUUAUCAAUAUUUUUUUUUAUAUAUAUUUUUGCACUUGAAUAUAUAGUAAGUCAUAUUCCGUUUAUCUCAAUUUAAACAUUUCUUUUCAAAUUUAGCUUUAUCAAUGACUCCAUUUUCAAUUUAACCUAAUUCCUACAUAGAUUUUUUUUUACUUUAACUU
rnacentral:lncRNA from 1 species